UACGUAGGUGGCAGGCGUUGUCCGGAAUUAUUGGGCGUAAAGCGCGCGCAGGUGGUUUCUUAAGUCUGAUGUGAAAGCCCACGGCUCAACCGUGGAGGGUCAUUGGAAACUGGGGAACUUGAGUGCAGAAGAGGAAAGUGGAAUUCCAAGUGUAGCGGUGAAAUGCGUAGAGAUUUGGAGGAACACCAGUGGCGAAGGCGACUUUCUGGUCUGUAACUGACACUGAGGCGCGAAAGCGUGGGGAGCAAACAGG
rnacentral:rRNA from 1 species